rnacentral:rRNA from 1 species
CAGCAGCCACGGUAAAACGAAGGGUGCAAGCGUUACUCGGAAUUACUGGGCGUAAAGCGUGUGUAGGUGGUUGUUUAAGUCUGUCGUGAAAGCCCUGGGCUCAACCUGGGAAUUGCGAUGGAUACUGGGCGACUAGAGUGCGGUAGAGGAUAGUGGAAUUUCCGGUGUAGCAGUGAAAUGCGUAGAGAUCGGAAGGAACAUCUGUGGCGAAGGCGACUAUCUGGGCCAACACUGACACUGAGACACGAAAGCGUGGGGAGCAAACAGGAUUAGAUACCCCCGUAGUCCCUGUCUCUUAUAC